CGAGCAGGCCGCCCUGUCGCUUUGGCGUGAGCCAAAGAGGAAAGUCCGGGCACCAUAGGGAUGCAUAGCGGCUAACGGCCGUCAUCCGCCACCGGCGGAUAGGACAAGUGCAGCAGAAAGGAUGUACGGGUAAUGCCGUAGUGAAAUCAGGUAAACUCUAUGCGGUGCAAUGUCAUGUAUAGUGGCGCUUGAGCGUUCCCGCGCGAUGCCACAGGGUAGACAGAUCGAGCCAGUGAGCAAUUGCUGGCCUAGAUAAAUGAUGGGGGUUCGCCACCGGCGGAUACAGAACCCGGCUUAUAGGCCUGCUUUUUUA
rnacentral:RNase_P_RNA from 1 species